UACAGAGGUGGCAAGCGUUGUUCGGAAUUACUGGGCGUAAAGGGCGCGUAGGCGGCCCUCUAAGUCCCGUGUGAAAGCCCCCGGCUCAACCCGGGAACUGCACGGGAAACUGGAAGGCUUGAGUUCGGGAGAGGGAAGCGGAAUUCCGGGUGUAGCGGUGAAAUGCGUAGAUAUCAGGAGGAACACCGGUGGCGAAGGCGGAUCUCUGGACCAGUUCUGACACUGAUGAGCGAAAGCCAGGGGAGCAAACGGG
rnacentral:rRNA from 1 species